AGUGAACGCUGGCGGUAGGCCUAACACAUGCAGGUCGAACGGCAGCACAGUAAGAGCUUGCUCUUACGGGUGGCGAGUGGCGGACGGGUGAGGAAUACAUCGGAAUCUACUUUUUCGUGGGGGAUAACGUAGGGAAACUUACGCUAAUACCGCAUACGGCCUACGGGUGAAAGCAGGGGAUCUUCGGACCUUGCGCGAUUGAAUGAGCCGAUGUCGGAUUAGCUAGUUGGCGGGGUAAAGGCCCACCAAGGCGACGAUCCGUAGCUGGUCUGAGAGGAUGAUCAGCCACACUGGAACUGAGACACGGUCCAGACUCCUACGGGAGGCAGCAGUGGGGAAUAUUGGACAAUGGGCGCAAGCCUGAUCCAGCCAUACCGCGUGGGUGAAGAAGGCCUUCGGGUUGUAAAGCCCUUUUGUUGGGAAAGAAAAGCAGCAGGUUAAUACCCCGCUGUUCUGACGGUACCCAAAGAAUAAGCACCGGCUAACUUCGUG
rnacentral:rRNA from 1 species